UACGUAGGGGGCUAGCGUUGUCCGGAAUCAUUGGGCGUAAAGAGCGUGUAGGCGGCUCGGUAAGUCCGCUGUAAAAGUCAAAGGCUCAACCUUUGAAUGUCAGUGGAUACUGCCGGGCUAGAGUCCGGAAGAGGCGAGUGGAACUCCUGGUGUAGCGGUGGAAUGCGCAGAUAUCAGGAGGAACACCGAUUGCGAAGGCAGCUCGCUGGGACGUUACUGACGCUGAGACGCGAAAGCGUGGGGAGCAAACAGG
rnacentral:rRNA from 1 species